rnacentral:rRNA from 1 species
CAGUGAAAUUGAACUCGCUGUGAAGAUGCAGUGUACCCGCGGCAAGACGGAAAGACCCCGUGAACCUUUACUAUAGCUUGACACUGAACAUUGAGCCUUGAUGUGUAGGAUAGGUGGGAGGCUUUGAAGUGUGGACGCCAGUCUGCAUGGAGCCGACCUUGAAAUACCACCCUUUAAUGUUUGAUGUUCUAACGUGGACCCGUAAUCCGGGUUGCGGACAGUGUCUGGUGGGUAGUUUGACUGGGGCGGUCUCCUCCUAAAGAGUAACGGAGGAGCACGAAGGUUGGCUAAUCCUGGUCGGACAUCAGGAGGUUAGUGCAAUGGCAUAAGCCAGCUUGACUGCGAGCGUGACGGCGCGAGCAGGUGCGAAAGCAGGUCAUAGUGAUCCGGUGGUUCUGAAUGGAAGGGCCAUCGCUCAACGGAUAAAAGGUACUCCGGGGAUAACAGGCUGAUACCGCCCAAGAGUUCAUAUCGACGGCGGUGUUUGGCACCUCGAUGUCGGCUCAUCACAUCCUGGGGCUGAAGUAGGUCCCAAGGGUAUGGCUGUUCGCCAUUUAAAGUGGUACGCGAGCUGGGUUUAGAACGUCGUGAGACAGUUCGGUCCCUAUCUGCCGUGGGCGCUGGAGAACUGAGGGGGGCUGCUCCUAGUACGAGAGGACCGGAGUGGACGCAUCACUGGUGUUCGGGUUGUCAUGCCAAUGGCACUGCCCGGUAGCUAAAUGCGGAAGAGAUAAGUGCUGAAAGCAUCUAAGCACGAAACUUGCCCCGAGAUGAGUUCUCCCUGAGACUUAG